rnacentral:rRNA from 1 species
AACCUUUGACAAUGGAUCUCUUGGUUCUCGCAAUGAUGAAGAAUGCAUCAAAAUACGAGAAUUGCAGAAUAUGUGAAUCAUCAAAUUGAACACAUAGCAUUUUUUUGGUUUACUAAAAAAAGUAUGCCUAUUUGAGUAUCA